UAUAAAUGUAAAAUUUAAUACUAAAGGAUUAAUAGUUAAGAUCUUUAAAUUUAAAAAAUUUGGCGGUAUUUUAGUCUAUUUAGAGGAACCUGUUCUAUAAUUGAUAAUCCACGAUUAGAAUUACUUAAUUUAAUAAAUUUGUAUAUCGUUGUUUAAAAAAUUUUAUAAGAAUAAAAAUUUUUUUGAAAUUUAAUAAAAUUAUUAAUCAAAUCAAGGUGCAGUUUAUAUUUAAGAAGAAAUGGGUUACAAUAAAUUAUAUUUAUAUGGAUUAAUUUAUAUUUAAAAUAUUUAUGAAGGUGGAUUUAAUAGUAAUUAUAAUAAUUUAAUUAUAAUGAUUAUAGCUCUAAAAUAUGU
rnacentral:rRNA from 1 species